UAGAUUUCCAUACGACAAAUAUUAUUGAAGACCCAAUUCAAAAUCCUCACAGCUCGAACUCAAAGAAACCAUGAAAACAGUGAUUCUUACUCCAAACUCCUCGGUAAAAUCCAGCACCACAACAGUCGGAGUAGGCAGCAGAGAUAAUUCUUAUUAUCCGGGAUGCAAAAAAGACGCCAAUUGCAACUGCGAAAUGUGUAUUGCAAGCUUCAACGCCACUCUUGAUUUGAUGCCGCAGACUGCUCAGAGGAGUUCGCUCACAAACCUCUCCGUUUCAAGGCCCAAAAUUCGGAGAAGCCCUGUCCCUCUCGAGGAGCCCUACGAAUUCUCAGCAAAAGAGAAAAGGGGAAUUCAAGUGCGAGGGUUUCCUUGUGCGGUUACUUUUUGGCUUGAUUGUUGUUUUCGGCUUGGAGUUCGGAUUUUCAUGGAUGAUUUCAGGGGGUUUAAAAAGUCAAUUAUCGCCGGAAUUGGUGGAUAAUAUGGCUAGAAAUUCAUGGGUUCACGAGGAUCUGAAUGGGAAAUUUAUGUUCUUUAAGAAUGAACUGGAAGGGUUUGUGGGAAUUAGGGUUUCAACCUGCAAUUCUGCUAAUUCUGUGUGGAAAAUCAGUCAGAUGAAGUUCUGAGAUUCUUAGUUGUAUGGCGACAUGGAUCUUAGGAUGAUUUGUUGCUGAAUUCGCGGUGCGUGUUGUAUAAAUCAAUGGCAGAAGAGGUAAGCAUUUGGGGAUGGCCAUUGCAGACUGCUGGAUUGCUUACUGCAGAAUAUUAUUCAAGAUCAUUCAGCAUUAUAAACGGAAGAGUUACUGAGUGGUCUGAUGGCAAAGCCAGUUAUUUUGAACGGAGAGAAAAUAGUUCGUGGGUGCAAGAAAAAUGGAGUUCCUCUGUCGUACAGUUUGAUCCUAACACGUGGCUUCUGGAGUACAGACAGAGCUUUCUCCUGCAAAACGCAAGGCCGGUUUCUGCUACUCUUAAGUUCUUGAAGUUGAGGCUGACAAGAGAUUUUGGAAAGAUGUACCAAGUAUUCUGGCUACGAUAUGCUAGUUUUGGUGGUCGUUGGGAGUUUAGAAGGCGGCCCAGACGAACCACCCUGGUACCUACUUAAGUGUAGAAUGUCUUAAACAAUACUCAUUACUGAUGAGAAGCUUUGUAUCAUUGGAGAUGUAGCAAUUUCUUCGUUGUAGAAGAAAUAGGAUUCUGGUCUUGUCCAUAUAUGGUGGUUAACAACAAUGAUGUAGAGGUUUAUUCUUCUCAA